rnacentral:lncRNA from 1 species
AGCACACGCUGACGUCUCUGUGUCCUCUUUUUCAUGGCCAGCACAGCGCACGAUGGGCUACGCAGCUCCCGGUGGGGUGCUCUUGGUGGUGCUGACGAGCAGCUUCCACAUAAAGAACAUCCACCAUCGCCACGGUGAGAAGCUUCUCUGCAACAGCCCUUCCACAUGGCCAUCCGGAGCUGGAGCCGCUCAAAGAAAAUGCAAAAGAUUGCUUUUAUUUUUCAGGACAAUUUCACUUUUUUAUAUAGGACGGCUGCACGGCGUUUGUGGACGUGACCGCCCUCGCGGUGAGCAUGGCGGCAGUGUCAGCCCUUCCGCUCCUCGCCAUCUUCCUCUGCUGUCCUCCAGGUCCUUUGAAAUGUCCCUGCCCAACAUCAAGGAUCCUGUUCCCACCUGCUAGACACUGGGGGUGUUUCACACUUGGCUGACUCAACCCAAUUUCUCCCCAACACUGAGUUUCAGUAGGUCUGAGUCUCCAGUGUACUGGUGAUAAACAGCAAUUAAAAUAAUUAAUUCUGCCUUUUUCUUUUUUUUUAUUUUUUUAUACAAUGCAUAACUGGAGGGUCCAAAUGCACACUUCCUCUUUUAUUUUCCUCUUUAAAACCAGGACAUGGGGGAGAGAAGGGCUUUUAAGAGUAGUUGCAAGUGUCUCUCUCAGUAGUUCAUUGUAUCAAUGCGGAUGCAGCCGUGCAGUUACCCACCCCUUCCUUCUGGUGUGUGAGGCCACACUCCACUGCUCGCUCACUGUGUGCAGAUGAUUUCAACGUGCUUUGGAAGGGGAGCAAUGCCGAGUUGGCUCAAGUUAGUUCAAGUUUCAGCAUAACUGGAGGCUGACACAUAACGAGAUGUCGAAUAUUUUGUUCUCAUUACAAUUUUAACUACAAGAUUUAUUUUAUCCUAAAGUGAGUUUAUACCAUAUCAAUGCUGAUUGUGCCUUGGGGAGAACAGAGUUCAGAAAAGAAAGAAAAAAAAAAAAAAAAAAACAAAAAAAACCUACUAUGAACAACUGCUGAAAACAGCAGCUGAGAAUAGGAAGGAGGAACACAGACAGAAACAGCCCUGCAGACACAAGGUGAGUGCAGCAGGAGGGCAGGAGGGGCUCCAGGCACACAGCAGCAGAUCCCCUGCAGCCCGUGGAGAGGAGCCCACGCAGGACCAGGGCAUCUGGGGGAGCUGCUGCCCACAGGGUACCCACGUUGGAGCAGUUUGCUUCUGAUGGGUGCACCCUGUGCUAUGGACCCGUGUGUGGAGCAGCUCCUGGGGAGCUGCAUCCUGUGAGAAGCACAUCUGGGAUCAGGUUGGGCAGGAUACGUUUUAUUGGAGGAACUCCACACUGGAGCAGGAGGAGAAAGUGGCUUCAUCUGCAGAGAAAUCGUUUUUUCACUAUAUUUUCCCUCACA